ACGAACUUUCCUUUUGAAGUGAAGUAUUUUACUUAUAAUUUUUUUAUUAUAAUUUUAUAAUUAUUCAAUUAUAAUAAAAAAUUAUAUAAAAAUUCAUCAUUUUUGAGUGAGUUUUAUAUAAAAUUUUAAUAAAUUUUAUAUAAUUUUAAAUUAUAAUUUAUUAAUAUAAUACAGUAAUUAUAAGUGAAACACGAAUUAUUGUUAUAAAAAUAUUAUGAAAUUAAAUACAUUUACAGGAUAAAUCAACUCUAAAAUAAUUAGGUUGAUUCACUGGUUAAAAACAACACCACAUACAAAAUUUAUUCUAUUAAUUUGUCACAACCUACAUUCUUCAACAAGAAAAGAAUUUUGCUUUAUUUCAGAGAAUUGUUAAGGGGACUAUUUUGUUCUUUGUCUUUUUGUGGAGACUUGUGGCCGAAUGAUGCACUACGUCCUUUUUCUUUAUGUACGGCCGAGUGUUGUUUAGUCUUUAUUAUAUCCGAAAGCAAGGGCUUCCAACCUCCGUUUGGAAGUUUACUUAUCCCAAACGUGCGUGGAGGUCCCAGUCCCAACAACUCCAAGAGUUGAAGAAAAAAGGAAAGCCAGGCGGAAAGAAAGAGGAACAUAAAACAACAUUUUCCUAACUCCUUUUUUACUUUUUCUGAAGUGUCUAUAGGUCUCAUUAGAACCCGGCCCCUGGAAAGAAGAUGCCUCGUUGAGUCUCACCUUCACAGGUCUGUUGUAAACAGAGGGCUGUAUGGGUGAAAAUCCCUGCGGGAGUGACUGUGCCCUUUUUUAGUCCCUUGAGCCUGGGCUUGCGCCUUUAUGCCUGCUCUUGGUCGGGAUCCCAAACGUACGUGGAGAUUAAGGGAAAAGACUUAAAUGAAAUUAUUUAAAAGAAGUUUUUUAUUAAAAAUAAUUAAAUAAAAAUAAAAAUUUAAUAUAUAAAAAAAGUCUUAGUAUAAAUUCAGGGUGUAAAAUUUUAAAAAUUUUAAUAUAUUUUAAAAUAGGAAUUUAUA
rnacentral:lncRNA from 1 species